rnacentral:rRNA from 1 species
GAAUAUUGGACAAUGGGGGGAACCCUGAUCCAGCCAUGCCGCGUGGGUGAAGAAGGCCUUUUGGUUGUAAAGCACUUUAAGGGAGGAGGAGGCUCCUCACGUUAAUACCUAGAGAUGGUGGACGUUACUCCCAGAAAACGCACCGGCUAACUCUGUGCCAGGCUCCGCGGUAAUACAGAGGGUGCAAGCGUUAAUCGGAUUUACUGGGCGUAAAGCGCGCGUAGGUGGCCAAUUAAGUCAAAUGUGAAAUCCCCGAGCUUAACUUGGGAAUUGCAUUCGAUACUGGUUGGCUAGAGUAUGGGAGAGGAUGGUAGAAUUCCAGGUGUAGCGGUGAAAUGCGUAGAGAUCUGGAGGAAUACCGAUGGCGAAGGCAGCCAUCUGGCCUAAUACCGACACUGAGGUGCGAAAGCAUGGGGAGCAAAC